rnacentral:lncRNA from 1 species
CCCUGGAGAGUUGCUGUAGAAGAAGGAAAAGAGAGGAAGACAACACAGGAGGAGAUAAGUAGCUCUGGAUACAUUGGAAGGUCACAUUGCUAAAUAGUUGUUGAGCAGAGGGAAAAGGAACAGGACAGAGGAUGAAUGCCAAAACUAUUACUGCAGCUACCCUGGACGCUAAGAACCCCCAAAGAGAUGGAGGAUGGAAGGAUGUAGAGCCCGGGCACUGGGUCCAGUGCUGACAUGGAACACAUUCAUUCUUAGAGUUCCACUGCAAACACUCCAAGGAUAGAGGCUGACUGUACAAGUCCUCUCUGGGAGCAGACUUUUAAGCAAAAGAGAUCUAUGAAAGCAGCACAACCCCAGCAGCUACUAUUAACAAGUGUCUGGAAUAUGUUCCUGGCAUUUCACCUGUACUCUCCAGUCCUUCCAAGAAACCCACAAAGCAAGUAUUACCAACAAGAGACCAGACACCCGGAGGAUUUACACUACUUGCCCAAGACCACACAGCCAAUUAUAGACGAUGUUGCCACUUGUACCAAAGUCCAUCUGGCUUCAAAGCCUGCUCUUUCCCCAUUAAACAAAAUGUCUCUCUGCCCUUACUUUUUUUUCCCUUCAGGGCUUUUUCUUGAACUUCUCUUCCUCACAAUAAUUAAAUCAUCCAUUUAA